UGCCAGCCGCCGCGGUAAUACGGAGGGUGCAAACGUUAAUCGGAAUUACUGGGCGUAAAGCGCGCGUAGGCGGUCUGAUAAGUGGGGUGUGAAAGCCCAGGGCUUAACCUUGGAACUGCAUUCCAAACUGUCAGGCUAGAGUAUGGUAGAGGGAGGUAGAAUUUCCUGUGUAGCGGUGAAAUCCGUAGAUAUUCGGAGGAACACCAGUGGCGAAGGCGGCUUUCUGGACCGAUACUGACGCUGAGACGCGAAAGCGUGGGGAGCAAACAGGAUUAGAUA
rnacentral:rRNA from 1 species